CCUACGGGGGGCAGCAGUGAGGAAUAUUGGUCAAUGGACGAGAGUCUGAACCAGCCAAGUAGCGUGAAGGAUGACUGCCCUAUGGGUUGUAAACUUCUUUUAUAUGGGAAUAAAAUGUUCCACGUGUGGGAUUUUGUAUGUACCAUAUGAAUAAGGAUCGGCUAACUCCGUGCCAGCAGCCGCGGUAAUACGGAGGAUCCGAGGGUUAUCCGGAUUUAUUGGGUUUAAAGGGAGCGUAGGUGGAUUGUUAAGUCAGUUGUGAAAGUUUGCGGCUCAACCGUAAAAUUGCAGUUGAAACUGGCAGUCUUGAGUACAGUAGAGGUGGGCGGAAUUCGUGGUGUAGCGGUGAAAUGCUUAGAUAUCACGAAGAACUCCGAUUGCGAAGGCAGUUCACUGGACUGCAACUGACACUGAGGCUCGAAAGUGUGGGUAUCAAACAGGAUUAGAUACCCGAGUAGUC
rnacentral:rRNA from 1 species